UUUUUGGAGGAAAUGGCGUCGUGAACAAUUAGCUCUACCCAAUCUCGGUCGCGUGUGCUUUUUCAUUAUAGUGGAGUGCAAAGUCGAGAACGGAUCGUUAAGAUCACGAUAAAGCCAAGUGGUAUCAAAUCAUCCAUCUUUAAACUGCGCGAUUGAAAAAUUAAACUCGAAAUUCUUAAUUCAUCGAGUUAGAUUCUAAAAAGAAAGUGUCUGUUUGAAUAAACCUAAAAUAGAUUCAAAUUCAGGCCAAACUGCCCAAUCAACGUGGGCGUCAAGUCUGGGAUUUUCCUACAAGGACUUGAAUAUCCUUCCGGAGGUCUAUCGAAAGACCCGUGGGGUCAGCAGUGGUUCUCAACCCACAAAUACUCGUCCGUCAAUAAGCCGUGCGGCGUGAGCAAAAGUACUGAAAGCUCGUCACUCCACAUCGAAAGGGACGCAUUCACCCUUAUUUGACGCCGGCGCGCGAGUCUUGUGGUGAUACCAGCCCACUGUAGUUUGCCAGUUUGCGACCCGGUGCGUGUAAACCCGGUAAGUCGGCCUUCAAAGAGCUCGAACCAUCCAUCGGACCCCGUGGGACAUCCGACGAGGGAUUGACCCGA